rnacentral:rRNA from 1 species
CACGUAGUUAGCCGGGGCUUCUUAGUCAGGUACCGUCAUUUUCUUCCCUGCUGAUAGAGCUUUACAUACCGAGAUACUUCCUCACUCACGCGGCGUCGCUGCAUCAGGGUUUCCCCCAUUGUGCAAUAUUCCCCACUGCUGCCUCCCGUAGGAGUUUGGGCCGUGUCUCAGUCCCAAUGUGGCCGUCCACCCUCUCAGGCCGGCUAAUGAUCGUAGGCUUGGUAGGCCUCUACCCUGCCAACUACCUAAUCAGACGCGGGCCCAUCUUACACCACCGGAGUUUUUACCACCCUGCCAUGCGGCAAUGUGGUCUUAUGCGGUAUUAGCAGUCAUUUCUAACUGUUAUCCCCCUGUGUAAGGCAGGUUGCCCACGCGUUACUCACCCGUCCGCCGCUCAGUCACUUCCUCGUCCCUCCGAAGAGUUCUAAUGAAGUGCUUCGCUCGACUUGCAUGUGUUAGGCACGCCGCCAGCGUUCAUCCUGAGCCAGGAUCAAACUCUC